UCCCUAUGUUUCACUAGGAAUUGAAGGAAAUGAUGAUGAUGAUAUAUAAUAAAGAAGAAUUAAUAGAUUUUUUGAUUCAGUAUGGUGUUUUAACGAAUGUAAUUAAGUGUAGUCAGUGUGGUAAUAAAUAUUGAUAAAAAAGUACUAACGUUCCGAUGUUGGAAAAGAUAUGUUAUAAAAAAUAUACAUAAAAAACGUAUUUCCAUACGAUGUGAUUUUUACAAAAAUGCAAGAAUAAGUAUUUGGUUCUAUCAAAGUCAUCUUGACAUAGACAUAAUUUGUAGGAUUGUUGCAUGUUUUCUAAUGUUAAAACAUCCACGUCAAAAUGACACGCAAGAUGAAAUUGGUGUAUCGUCAAUUACGAUUGUUGUCUGGUUCAAUUUUUGCAGAGAGCAUAGCGAAAAGCUUGGUGGCCCAGAACACACACAGUAGAAAUCAUCGAUGAAGCAAAAAUUGGAAAACAAAAAAACAAUCAUGAAAGACUUGUCAAAGGAAAUUGGAUUUUUGGAGGAUACAAACGUGAUCCGAAGAAGAUUUUUAUCGUUCCAAUAUAGGAUCGGAAAAAAAAACCACUUCUGGCAUGUAUCAAGGAAUGCAUUUUGCCAGGAACUACUAUCGUGUCAGAUUGUUGGAAGUCUUAUAAUUGCUUGAACAAUAAAGGCUUCUAACAUUUGAUGGUAAACAAUUCCUACAACUUUGUCGAUCCUGAAAGUGGCGCACGUACACAGCAUAUAGAAUAUGUUUGGAGAGAAAUUCAGGAAAAUAUCCCAAGGUACGGAACUAGAUCUGAGAACGUCCUUGGAUAUUUGUCUGAAUUUUUCUUCAAACGAACCUAUAGCUGACUGGAGUACAUAGAAAUCUUCUUCAAUAUCAUUGCCGAAAUAUAUCCUCCAAUGUCCUCCACAGAUCAACCAGAAACAUCCUGCGAGGAAUCAAGUACUAGUACUGCUUGAAAACACGUUUUUGUCUACAUCACUAUUUUUUAUCAAUAUAUAUAUUAUUACCACAUUUA